rnacentral:rRNA from 1 species
AAGGUCUCCGUUGGUGAACCAGCGGAGGGAUCAUUACCGAGUUUACAACUCCCAAACCCAAUGUGAACGUUACCAAACUGUUGCCUCGGCGGGAUCUCUGCCCCGGGUGCGUCGCAGCCCCGGACCAAGGCGCCCGCCGGAGGACCAACCAAAACUCUUAUUGUAUACCCCCUCGCGGGUUUUUUACUAUCUGAGCCAUCUCGGCGCCCCUCGUGGGCGUUUCGAAAAUGAAUCAAAACUUUCAACAACGGAUCUCUUGGUUCUGGCAUCGAUGAAGAACGCAGCGAAAUGCGAUAAGUAAUGUGAAUUGCAGAAUUCAGUGAAUCAUCGAAUCUUUGAACGCACAUUGCGCCCGCCAGUAUUCUGGCGGGCAUGCCUGUCCGAGCGUCAUUUCAACCCUCGAACCCCUCCGGGGGGUCGGCGUUGGGGAUCGGCCCUUUACGGGGCCGGCCCCGAAAUACAGUGGCGGUCUCGCCGCAGCCUCUCCUGCGCAGUAGUUUGCACACUCGCAUCGGGAGCGCGGCGCGUCCACAGCCGUUAAACACCCCAAACUUCUGAAAUGUUGACCUCGGAUCAGGUAGGAAUACCCGCUGAACUUAAG